GGCGGCACGCUUAACACAUGCAAGUCGAACGGAGAUAUUUAGGUUUACUUAGAUAUCUUAGUGGCGGACGGGUGAGUAACACGUGAGCAACCUGCCUUUGAGAGAGGGAUAGCUUCGGGAAACUGAUGGUAAUACCUCAUAACGUAUAUAUGCCGCAUGACAGAUAUACCAAAGAUUUAUCACUCAAAGAUGGGCUCGCGUCUGAUUAGCUAGUUGGUGAGGUAACGGCCCACCAAGGCGACGAUCAGUAGCCGGACUGAGAGGUUGAACGGCCACAUUGGGACUGAGACACGGCCCAGACUCCUACGGGAGGCAGCAGUGGGGAAUAUUGCACAAUGGGGGAAACCCUGAUGCAGCGAUGCCGCGUGGAGGAAGAAGGUUUUCGGAUUGUAAACUUCUUUUAUCAGGGACGAACUCUGACGGUACCUGAUGAAUAAGCUCCGGCUAACUACGUGCCAGCAGCCGCGGUAAUACGUAGGGAGCAAGCGUUGUCCGGAUUUACUGGGUGUAAAGGGUGCGUAGGCGGCUUUUUAAGUCAGAUGUGAAAUCUAUGGGCUCAACCCAUAAACUGCAUUUGAAACUAGAGAGCUUGAGUGAAGUAGAGGCAGGCGGAAUUCCCUGUGUAGCGGUGAAAUGCGUAGAGAUAGGGAGGAACACCAGUGGCGAAGGCGGCCUGCUGGGCUUUAACUGACGCUGAGGCACGAAAGCGUGGGUAGCAAACAGGAUUAGAUACCCUGGUAGUCCACGCUGUAAACGAUGAUUACUAGGUGUGGGGGGACUGACCCCUUCCGUGCCGGAGUUAACACAAUAAGUAAUCCACCUGGGGAGUACGCCCGCAAGGUUGAAACUCAAAGGAAUUGACGGGGGCCCGCACAAGCAGUGGAGUAUGUGGUUUAAUUCGAUGAUACGCGAGGAACCUUACCCGGGCUUGAACUGCACAGGACUGAUACAGAGAUGUUGAUUCCCUUCGGGGCCUGUGCGGAGGUGCUGCAUGGUUGUCGUCAGCUCGUGCCGUGAGGUGUCGGCUUAAGUGCCAUAACGAGCGCAACCCCUUUCGUCAGUUGCCAUCAGGUCAUGCUGGGCACUCUGGCGACACUGCCACCGUAAGGUGCGAGGAAGGUGGGGAUGACGUCAAAUCAGCACGGCCCUUACGUCCGGGGCUACACACGUGUUACAAUGGUGGGUACAGAGGGAAGCUACCUGGCGACAGGAUGCAGAUAACGAAAACCCAUCCCAGUUCGGAUUGGAGUCUGCAACCCGACUCCAUGAAGUUGGAUUCGCUAGUAAUCGCGAAGCAGCCAUGGCGCGGUGAAUACGUUCCCGGGC
rnacentral:rRNA from 1 species